ensembl:lncRNA
AAAGCCAGAGGAGUUUCUGGCAGCUUCUCCCAUUAGCGGCCAACCUGCUCCCCGUGGUUCCUGCUCCCUGGGACAUGAGUGCCACAUGCAUUUCAUCCCCUGACGGCACAGGAAGUUGGUCUCAGUGAAUCUCAGCUCAGAGAAAGCCUGCUGCUUCCAGGCGGUUCUGAAACCCUCCUCUAUAGCCUCCUCAUCCAGGCGGAUGGGGCUUGUGUGGCCGGCGAGCUGGGGCCCGGCAGGCUGACCCCCAUCCCCACCUGCCAUUAAACAGGAAGGUAACAGAACAACCCCCCGCCCCAAAACACAAACCUCCAGCCAGAUUCGACAGGAGUACAAAUGAGACGCAGAAAUGCGGCCAAGUGCAGGGCUGCCCAGGAAGCACUGAGGUCUCCUGCGGCUCUCGCUGGAAAGGGGAACCGUGGCUGCCUUGGGGCUGGGUGCCCAGCUCUCAGGGUCUCUGCAGGACUUGGGAGAGGUGCCUCGGGCCGCACUGCACACAGGAAGUGGAGAAGGUGCACAGAAGGCGCGAACGUAACCUCAUGGGAUCCUCAGGGACUGGUGCAGGGCAGCCGGUGGGUGUGUUCUCAGAGAAGGCCAGGCAGAGCUGCUCGGACUUCUGCCCUCGCCCCUAGAGACCCUCCUUGCUGGCCUGAUGAGGCAGGCGACUGUGUUUAAGAAGUGCAGGUGGGGGGCUUCCCUGGUGGCUCAGUGGUUGGGAAUCCGCCUGCCAAUGCAGGGGACACGGGUUCAAGCACUGGUCUGGGAAGAUCCCACAUGCUGUGGAGCAACUAGGCGUGAGCGCCACAACUACUGAGCCUGUGCUCUAGAGCCCGCAAGCCACAACUACUGAGACCGCGUGCCACAACUACUGAAGCCUGUGCCCCCAGAGCCUGUGUUCCGCAACAGGAGAAGGCACCGCAGUGAGAGGCCCACGCACCGCAGCGAAGUGUAGCCCCCACUCGCCGCAACUAGAGAAAGCCCGCGCGCAGCAAUGAGGACCCAACGCAGCCAAAAGUAAAUAAAUAAAUCAAUCUAUUUAAAAAGAAAAAAGAAGUGCACGUGGGGACUUCCCUGGUGGUCCAGCGGGUAAGACUCUGCCCUCCCAAGGCCAGGGGCCCAGGUUCAAUCCCUGGUCGGGGAACUAGAUCCUGAAUGCCGCAAGUGGGAGUCCACAUGCUGCAACUAAAGGGUCCUGCAUGCCGCAACGAGGAUCCCACAUGCUGCAACUAAGAGCUGGCACAGCCAAAUAAAUAAAUAAAAAUAAAUCUUAAAAAAAAAAGUGCAUGUGGCCAGGAGCGGUGGGUGACCCCUAGGAGCUGCCGACAGUCCUGCAGCUGCAGGCACCACAAAUUCUGCCAACACCCCGAGGGACCCUGGAGCAGAUUCUCCCCCAGUCAAGCCUCUGGGUAAGAAGUUGGCACCUGGAUGGUGGCCUGGUGGGACCCUGAGCAGAGGACCCCGUUAGGCUGUGCCUGGACCCCUGACUCACUGUGAGAUAAUAAGUGGGUGGAGCUUGGGGGUAUUUGUCAUGCAGCAUCGCUAGCUAAUACAGCAGAGAAGCACAACCUGCAGAGAGGACCCAGGUCCGGAGGAGAUGCAAGGGGAUGCGGCCUGAUGUGGCCUGUCGACGUUCCCUCAUUUUUUCCUACGAUGUCAUGUCAGUUGGGCCUGCCACUCCUAAAUUAAUCUGUGUGACGGUAAAGAUGAUACAAAUAGAAAAUACAAAACUAACAUAAAAAAAAUAAUAACAUCUCCCUCCUGACCCCAAAGCCUUUGACUAAAAUGACUGCCCUAGGAAGGUACCGCUGUGUGUCCUGCUUUGAGAAGCCAGCCCCAGGCCGUGGCCAACCGUGACUCCCAAGGUUGUGGCGGGGAAGGAACCACAUCAGUGAAGAGAGAAGUUUGCUGAUCCAUCCAUUCCAAGCCAAAGAGCCAUGUUGAAAGAAAACCGUUCAUCACUCCUUGCCGCCUUUUAAAACAAAUCACCUGGAACCCUGCUGCGAAAGUCCAGGAUUUCCCACCUGGGAAAUCACAGCCCUGCCUCCUCCCUUGCUGUCUGUCCCGCCAGCACUCCCUGCAGAUGUGCCCGGCGGGUCUCACUUGCACCCAGAUGGGUACCGCACCAGGCACGGCAGGGAUGGGGGCUCUGUCAUGCCAAGCACCUGCAGGGACCGAGCCUGGCAGGACUAGAAUUCUGUUCCUGUGUUUCACCGCUCACGCCUGCCCUGCGGAACAUUUCCCAACGUCUGUCCCCGUUACCCCGGCGUAGCCACGAGAUGCUGGGAACACGGGAAAGAAAACAAAUCACUGUGAUUCAACGGCUCUCACAGUCCACCCCCGACCCCUCAGCAUGCUCUGUGCUUCCUCCUCUUUUCCCUGUUGACAGCUUCGCUGAGACAGAAAGUCAGAAAACAAACAGUUCACCACUGAAAAUGUUCACUCACUCAAUGGUUUUUUUGGUAUAUUACAUUAUUAAAUUUUAAAGACUGUAAAAAUAUAUAUAUGUG